rnacentral:rRNA from 1 species
CCUACGGGUGGCUGCAGUGAGGAAUAUUGGUCAAUGGGCGAAAGCCUGAACCAGCCAUCCCGCGUGCAGGAAGACGGCCCUAUGGGUUGUAAACUGCUUUUCCAGGGGGCGAACAGUAUCGACGUGUCGGUAUUUGACGGUACCCUGGGAAUAAGCAUCGGCUAACUCCGUGCCAGCAGCCGCGGUAAUACGGAGGAUGCGAGCGUUAUCCGGAUUUAUGGGGUUUAAAGGGUGCAAAUGCGGAUGUGGAGAAACCCUGCAGCUUAACUGUAGACUUGCCGUGGAUACUGUUUGUCUUGAGUAUGGUCAAGGUAGGCGGAAUGUGUAAUGUAGCGGUGAAAUGCUUAGAUAUUACACAGAACACCGAUUGCGAAGGCAGCUUGCUGGACCAAUACUGACGCUGAUGCACGAAAGCGUGGGGAUCGAACAGGAUUAGAUACCCGUGUAGUC